rnacentral:tRNA from 1 species
GGAGGGGUACCCGAGUGGACAAAGGGGGCAGACUGUAAAUCUGCUGGCGAUGCCUUCGGAGGUUCGAAUCCUUCCCCCUCCACCU